rnacentral:lncRNA from 1 species
AAGAAUAGGGCCUUCCCUAUUUUGAGAUCUUUUUUCUUGUUUUGCCGACCAUCGACAAUGGUGGCUACUGUCGAGGUCAUCUCCUAGUCAGCAUCGAGCUCUUUAUCGAUUGCCAGGCUGAGUUCCUCUACCAUGGUCGGAUGAAGAGAGGAGGGGAGGGGAUUUGGGUGCCCUAUUUUCGUGAAGAAGGAAGAAGGAAGAAGAAAGAAGAAAUG